AGUGAACGCUGGCGGUAGGCCUAACACAUGCAAGUCGAACGGCAGCACAGUAAGAGCUUGCUCUUACGGGUGGCGAGUGGCGGACGGGUGAGGAAUACAUCGGAAUCUACUUUUUCGUGGGGGAUAACGUAGGGAAACUUACGCUAAUACCGCAUACGACCUGCGGGUGAACGCAGGGGAUCUUCGGACCUUGCGCGAUUGAAUGAGCCGAUGUCGGAUUAGCUAGUUGGCGGGGUAAAGGCCCACCAAGGCGACGAUCCGUAGCUGGUCUGAGAGGAGGAUCGGCCACACGGGAACUGAGACACGGUCCAGACUCCUACGGGAGGCAGCAGUGGGGAAUAUGGGACAAUGGGCGCAAGCCUGAUCCAGCCAGAGCGCGUGGGUGAAGGAGGCGUUCGGGUUGUAAAGCCCUUUUGUGGGGAAAGAAAAGCAGCAGGUUAAGACCCCGCUGUUCUGACGGUACCCAAAGAAUAAGCACCGGCUAACUUCGUG
rnacentral:rRNA from 1 species